rnacentral:ncRNA from 1 species
UGCUGGGGGAGCGUGAGCUGAGAGUGCGCGGAUUUUUCGCGCAGACCCUUGAACCUGAUCCGGGUAAUGCCGGCGAAGGGAAGCC